rnacentral:lncRNA from 1 species
CUCUUCUCGUCCAAGCUGGCCAAGGCUGGCAACACGUCCACCCCGAAUGGCUCUGCUGUGACGGAGCUCGACGUGGCCGAGUGGCCCGGUACGAACACGUUGGGCGUGUCCAUGAACCGCGUGGACUUCGCACCAGGGGGCACCAACCCGCCGCACAUCCACCCGCGCGCUACCGACAUUGGCAUCGUGAUGAAAGGUGAGCUCCUCGUUGGUAUCCUCGGCAGCCUCGACUCUGGGAACAAGCUCUACUCCAGGGUGGUGCGUGCUGGAGAGACGUUCCUCAUCCCACGCGGGCUCAUGCACUUCCAGUUCAACGUCGGUAAGACACAUGCCUCCAUGGUCGUCUCCUUCAACAGCCAGAACCCCGGAAUCGUCUUCGUGCCGCUCACGCUCUUCGGAUCCAACCCGCCCAUCCCCACACCGGUGCUCACCAAGGCUCUCCGGGUGGAGGCUGGGGUCGUGGAACUUCUCAAAUCCAAGUUCGCUGGUGGGUCUUAAUUCCUGGGAGCCAGCCCUGAAAUGAUCAAUAUAUAAUUCGAUAUAUGCAUGCUGGCGAAAUUUAAUGAUUCUCUGCAGAAGACAUGUAUUCAAGCUUCUGGUUAAGCUCCAUGCAGUUGUAUUAUCGACCGAAUGUGCUGGUGGCUGUCAACCGUUGGGCCUGGACGAGCGAGUGCAAUGUGUGUUGCUAUUUCAACCUUUGUUUAUUUUUUAACACAGUAGAUACAUAGACUUUUUUACGUAUGUACAUACACUCAUCUUUAUGAAUGAACGCAUGCAUGCCCUAUUUCUAUUAGCACAUUUGAGAGACCGAGCCAUCAUAUCAUCUUGAGAUUGACGAAGUCGUCACUCACAUCUUCAUAGUCAAUGCAAACAUCUCCUCCCACUAACAUAUGCCGCCGCCAUCGGGAGACAUAAAACAAAUUCAAAAAAUACGAGCACCUGCGUCAAGUCUAGGAUUUAAAUCUUAAUAGAGAAGACAUGCAACACUCUUGCAUGUUCUUGAAGAAAGAAAAAUCUCUAGUUCUGUACUCACUUAAGAGAGGGAGAGACAUGUGCUAAUUAACGUUGAGCGUAUAGCAUGAUUGUACCAACCCUGAACUGAAACUGGCUCCGGUCUCUCUCAAAUAAUUUCUUGAUUCAUUUCUGGAUGACUUGUUGCCAACAGUAUAUUUCACGUUCGGGCAGUGAAGGGGUUCUCAUUGGCUACUAGUACAAGUGAAGUACGCGCCUGAUCGAUCAUUCAACAAACCAACGAUUGAUCACAGUUUAAAAAUUCGCGAGACGCCAGCGAAACAACUAAAACGUGCUUGUCAGUGACAAUCAACGAGCCUGUUGUGUCGAAGAGUCAAGACUUUCUUUCUGACUGAUGAUCCAUCAAGCGCAUCGGCCCGCCUCUCCCUGUCUCCAGUCUCCGGUGUACCCGGCCGGUUCGGUAGCCCCUCCGCCAGGUGGAGCACCCGCAUGGCCGCAUGUCACCAUCAUCAUGAUGAUGAAAUUUCCGAAACACAAAAAUUCUGAUGUCAGAUUUUCAGGCACGACAAAUCUGAUGUUUUUCAUGCCAAUUUAUAUUGACGCGAUGAUGAAAAAUAUAGUUUGUAAGCCCGAUAAUUUUUUGAUAAAAUAAUGAACCGAUAGAUUUGGCAUGCUCGCUAACUAAACUUGUAAUCCUCAAAGAACAUAAUUUGCAAUGAGAAACGUUCGAUUUGUUAUGGUCAAAAAUCUGACGUCAUAUUUAUAGUGCAGUCCUAGAAUUUAGAACACAUUUUUCUGUUUACAAAUUUUAGGGUACACAUUGCUCGUCUCAAACACCAAUGGCUAGCCCUGAUUCGACCUCACCCUUUAAGCAGAACUGACUCACACGCCCUGCUCUGUCGAACUAUAUCAAUCUCUGCUUACACCCUGGAACCAACAUGUGGUUGUAUUUCAAGUCCACCAGCGAUCGUGUCGAUGCCAAGUAUUUAGUGACUUCCCCAUUCUUGAAGCUGCGCAAUUCUAGUUUGCGGUAGUAGAUGUCCUGUGAGUGUUUGCAUAUGGUGAUAGUGUGUGCGCGUGUGUGCCUGCGCAUCUUUACCACGUUCACUUAUCCUUCCCGCCUUGCCAUUUUUCAAACUUAUUGCCCACCUCUCCAAGGCAUCCUUUUUUUGGCGAGAAAUUUUUUGAUCUAUUCAUCAACUGCUAAUUAAGGUAGUACAACAAACAACAGAAGUAAAAAAUUACAUUCAUGUCUGUAGACCACCUAGUGACAACUACAAGCACUGGAACGAGCCCAUAAAACACUACAAGGCACACGUUUUAAUCUCUAUAAAACACUAACCAAACAUUUACAAUAUCUCCACAAUGAUUGGCCGAACUGAUAUUUUUGCGUGAGUCCCUCCGCUUUCAAAGUACAAGUGUAUUAGGCUUUAUAAUUUCAAUCUUCUUAAUCUUUGACCAAGAUUAUUUGGAAAACAGUAAUAUAUACAAUACAGUACGAAGUUAGUACUCCCUCCGGUCUUUUUUAGUCUGUAUAUAAGUUUUGUCCGAAGUCACAAUAUCUCUACUUUGACCAAAAUUAUAGAAAAAGUAUCAACAUUCACAAUGUCAAAUCAAUAUUGUUAGAUUUAUCAUGAAAUAUAGUUUCAUGGUAUAUAUAUUUGUUGUUGUAGAUGUCGAUUUUUUAAUAUAAAUUUGAUCAAACUUUGCAAAGUUUGACUUGACACAAAUGUAAUAUGCCGAGUAAAAAGGACCGGAGGGAGUAUCAUUAAAUCCACCAUCAAAUAUAUUUUGUUUUUUGGUAUUGCAAAUAUUUAUAUCUAUUGCCAUAAAAUUAGUCAAACAUAAAAAGGGUUUUAGAAAAAAAAAUACUAUUUAUAUUUUGAGACGUAGGGGGUAUGAAUUAUAGGUGUGAGUAACAAUGUAAUAUUUUUGUAUGAAUACUACUCCCUCCGUCCCAUAAUAUAAGAACGUUUUUUACACUAGUGUAGUGUUAAAAACGUUAUAUUUCGGGACAGAGGGAGUAAUAUGUUAUUUUUGCGCAAGUACUUGUAUGAACCAAUAAUUGUGGACUGGUGGUUACUAAUAAUUGUGCUGAUCCUUCUACAUUGCCAUUUUCCCCCUGAAUUUCUGAAUCCUAGACGAAAUCAAGGUCAUCGUUGAGUAGAGAUGUGCACGAAUCUUGUGAACAUCUGUUUCCAAGCGCAAUACUCCAUUGAGAUACACCUCCUCGUUGUCUCUGUUCGCAGGUCCCAUUUUCCUUAGCAGCCGGUAUGGCCUUGACUUCUGACCUUGGGCCAUCUUCAUUUUCAUCAGAAGGUAAGAUCUCGAUGCCAAUAAUAUUAAUAAUAUACUCUAUCCUCAGCAAAUAACUCUGCUUCGGUGUUCACACAUGCGGCAUAGGUAUGCGGUGACGACAUGCAUAGCCAGCACCAUGCAUACAUGCAUGCACUGAUCAUAGCCCUAUAUAAAGGACUCCAUAUGCCUCAUCGCUAACUCAUCCACCACAGCUUUGCUGCAACCACCAGUGAAGCACUCUUGAUCAACAAACUCUAGCUGAUCAGUGCUAGCUAAGCUUGCUACAUAGCAAGCCAUGGGUUACUCCAAAAACCUAGGGGCUAGCCUGUUUGCCAUGCUGCUGCUUGCUCCGGCCGUCCUGGCCUCCGACCCUGACCCUCUCCAAGACUUCUGCGUUGCUGACCUCGACGGCAAGGCGGUCUCUGUGAACGGGCAUCCAUGCAAGCCCAUGUCGGAGGCCGGUGACGACUUCCUCUUCUCGACCAAGCUGGCCAAGGCCGGCAACACGUCCACCCCGAAUGGCUCGGCCGUGACGGAGCUCGACGUGGCCGAGUGGCCCGGUACGAACACGCUGGGUGUGUCCAUGAACCGUGUGGACUUCGCGCCGGGAGGCACCAACCCGCCGCAUGUCCACCCGCGCGGGACCGAGAUCGGCAUGGUGAUGAAAGGUGAGCUCCUCGUUGGAAUCCUCGGAAGCCUCGACUCCGGAAACAAGCUCUACUCUAGGGUGGUGCGUGCUGGAGAGACGUUCCUCAUCCCACGCGGGCUCAUGCACUUCCAGUUCAACGUUGGUAAGACAGAGGCCUACAUGGUUGUUUCCUUCAACAGCCAGAACCCCGGCAUCGUUUUCGUGCCGCUCAUGCUCUUCGGUUCCAACCCGCCAAUCCCCACGCCGGUGCUCACCAAGGCACUAAGGGUGGAGGCCGGGGUCGUCGAACUUCUCAAGUCCAAGUUCGCUGGUGGGUCUUAAUCCCUGGGAGCUUGCCCUGAAAUGAUGAGUAUAUAAUUUGAUAUAUGCAUGCCAAUGAGAUUUAAUAAUUGUUCAGCAGAAGACACGUAUUCAAGCUUCUAGCUAAGCUCGCAUGCAGUUGUAAUAAGAUUGAAUAAGUUAGCCUCGCGGUUUAGCCUUCAGAGCCAAUACGAGGAAUCGAAGUGUACUGCUUUUCAUUGUCGUAUUUGUUCU